rnacentral:lncRNA from 1 species
AUCCAACUUCACGUACACCACAAAACAAGAGUAACCUACCUCAGACCUAGGGCAAAACUGACAGCACGAUGCCAGUAAUCUCUGUGGCUGUGCAGAAACACACCUCGAUGCUUGCCUGAGCCCCGACUUCACAUCCCAAAGCAGAGAGCACCGCAGCUGGUACUGCUGCGUGAUGCUGAAGCUGCCUGGCACUUGCCAUUAAAGCCACUCAACUUCUGUUUCUUUUGACUUUGCCAGUUUUUAACAGCUUAGCCCAAAAUUUGGCAUACCAGCUGUCUGCCUCGGGCUGAGAAGGUCUGGAAAAUUUCGGCAGAAGGACGUGUUCAUUCACAGGGAAAGGUAACAGGGGCGUCCAGGUGAGCUGCCCGUCUGAGCAGCCCUGGGAGGAUUUUCCCUGCGCAGCUCCCACGUCCUGUGCCCGAGAGGCAGCUCUCCAUCACCCCGCUACAUGCCGGGGAGCAGCAUUUGCGUGGGGUGCCCUUCAAGGGAGGGAAAAAAAGGUGCAGACACUGGGAAAACUAGGAUUUUGGAAAACUUCACUGUUGUGUCCAUCCAGAAAGAAAAGCAGGCAGAUGCCGGCUGCCACCAAGGUGUGAACCUAAAUGCCAACCACCAGAAAGUGGCAACGAGGUGGGUGGUAUCAGGGAAGACCGUGGAGAUGAAGCACUGAAAAUCCUCAUCUCCUUCACUGCAUGGGAGCGCACGGCCCUGAGUGUGCUGCUGACUCCUUCCCCUGUAUGGGAAGAUGCAGUGCUGCUGCAGAAGAAUACUUCCUUGUGUCAGCUUCACUCCAAGCACUGAAAAGAGAGAACUUUGUUGUUGUUCCUUGGGUGGCAGCUGCUAAUACAGGUAGAAAAACUGGAGAAACCUCUAUUGCAUUGACCAACAUGGUGCAGGUGAAUUAUGUCAGCUAUCUUUUUUUGGGGUGUAUGCAGUUAGUUGAAGGGAACAGUACAAAUGCAUUGCUCUUUUCUCUGUUCAUCCCUCAGAUUUUUCCUUCAACCUUUGGGUAACUUAAGAUGCCACUAAUAAUUUUUUUCUCUAGUCCGGUGUGUCCUUUUUACUUUUGCCAGUAUUUCCAAGAAGACGGGUAAAUAAAUAAGCAGGUAAAUUUACUCCA